GUCAGUGUGGCAUAGUGGUUUGAGUGCUUGACUACAAGUCUUGAGACCAGGGUUCAAUUCCAAGCUCUGCUG